rnacentral:lncRNA from 1 species
GCGGAGACAAGUUCAAAAAAGUGUAUAAUAUCAUAAUAUCUCCAAUUUUAUUAUAUUGAUCGACACGUUGAGAGGAUUUGUGAGGGAAAAUAAACCCCAAUGAAGAGAAUGUCACGAGAAGGCACGACCUGUUGAACCUCCGUCAUCAUUUAAACGCUUUAUUAGGUGUUUUUUUUUUUUUUUUUUUUUUUUCGUCGAGUUUGCGAUCUGACUGCAGUCCGGUCGGUCUCGAGAGGGAGGCGCGAGACGGGCGCUAGUUGAGUUGAGUCGAGUUGAAGCGUCGAGGCGAGGCGAGGCGGGGGCGGGGAGCGCGCGGUGCGCUCUCGCGCCAAUGAGGGCAUCCCGGGCUUGGCAGGAACGCGUCCACGUGACCGUGGAGAGCACCGACACACGCCGGCGGGGCUCCUUCUCAAACACACCGCCGACAGGAGGAGAAGCGCGAAGGGGAGCGAGCGACAGAGAAGACGUCCACGGUGACACACACUCGUCCACACACCUCCUCGACGUGCAGAAGAUGGACGGCUACACGCGCACCGAAGACGAGCUCUUCCCCUCAUGCCUGCUCACCUCCACCUGGGAGAACCCCCACCACGAGCAGGAGAAAAGGAGCACAACAAGCGGGUGAGUGCGGGCGGCCCGCAGUUUCCUUGGCUCACUCACCAAGCCUGGCUUCAGACAUCCCUUGCAGGAUUACUGGCUGGGCAUCAAUUCAAGCUCCGGGGACACAGGGGACGGGUUGUUCCUCUGCCGGGGGACCAGCUCCGACUC